CUAAAUAGUUCUAUAACAAAACAAUUCGCCAGAGAACUACUAGCAACAGCUUAAAACUCAAAGGACUUGGCGGUGCUUUAUAUCCCUCUAGAGGAGCCUGUUCUAUAAUCGAUAAACCCCGAUAAACCUCACCAUCCCUUGCUAAUACAGUCUAUAUACCGCCACCUUCAGCAAACCAGGG
rnacentral:rRNA from 1 species